UAUUAGUUCAGGUUUCAAAAUAGAAUUUAGCUUUGUAUUUCCACUUUUGAUGUUGAUGUGAAAGGAAAGGCCACAAGGUCUGGCAAUCACCUCAGCUCUCAUUUAUCUGCUAAUGACAUAACCAGACAUGAUCAGUGAUUUCUAAGAAAUGGCAUUCAGGCGAGAAAUGAAAGAAAAACUAAAAGCUUAUAAUGGGCAUUCCACGCAGCUGUUCUAGCAAUGUCCUGAGACGUUAUUUACAGAAUGAAUAAACAAUCCGACUUCUAAUGUUAACAUUCAGGGGAGGAGAAAUUCACAGUAAAAGUGCCCAGACUUGCAAUGUGGCACAAUCCCUGCGUUACAUGCUCUUGCAUUUUCUUCUGCGCCCCAUCAAGCCCUUGUAUACAUUUUGAGAAAUGGCAGAAAGUGUGCUAAAAGAAAGAUGUCGACCUGCAGAAUAGCAGCAAGCAUUGGUUCAGAGAAUCUCCAUCUUCAGAAAUCUUCUAAUUGCAC